rnacentral:rRNA from 1 species
UACAGGGGGUGCAAACGUUGCUCGGAAUUAUUGGGCGUAAAGCGCGCGUAGGCGGCUACUUAAGUCGGAUGUGAAAGCCCUUGGCUCAACUGAGGAAGUGCACCCGAAACUGAGUGGCUUGAGUACUAAAGAGGGUCGCGGAAUUCCCGGUGUAGAGGUGAAAUUCGUAGAUAUCGGGAGGAACACCGGUGGCGAAGGCGGCGACCUGGGGUAGAUACUGACGCUGAGGCGCGAAAGCGU